rnacentral:misc_RNA from 1 species
AAAAUGCGAUACGUAGUGCGAUCUGCAUGAACCUGUGAGUCAUCGAGUCUUUGAACGCAACUUGCGCCACUUGUGGCAUGUCUGUUUGAGCACCAUAUACCUCUGUCGCAAGACGAACUGUCCAGUGCAUCGCUGGGCUAAAUGGUGUGAUAUCUAUCUGGGGUGCGCAGUAGCGAACCGAGCUAGAGGCUGCUGGAUGGAAUCUGCUGGCUGUUACAGGCCAGUGGACGACACCAAUCACCUUGUCGGCAAUCUACUAGGCCCCCCACACUACCGGUCUCAAAUCAGGCAAGAGUACCCGCUGAACUUAA